rnacentral:lncRNA from 1 species
GGACCGAAAAUGUACGUUCAUCCAGCGACGACCUAGCUUAAUUAGCUAAGCCAGCCGGGGUUAGGACGUUCGUCGAUGGACGAUCACACUGUUUUUCCUCGAUUGUAUAUACAGCAGGCAAUCGAUCUCCAAGCCGAAACUUGUGUGAGGAAAGCAAAAAACAGAAAGAAGAAAAGAAAGAAAAACGAACUAAAGGACGAAGCUGUGUUACGCGUUAAUCAGGCAUGGUCAGAUC